rnacentral:tRNA from 8 species
CUCCCUGUAGUGAACUGGUAUCACACCUGUUUUGGGAACAGGCAAAGAAGGUUCGAUUCCUUCCAGAGAGAC